AUUGAACGCUGGCGGCAGGCCUAACACAUGCAAGUCGAGCGAGUGGCGGACGGGUGAGUAAUGUCUGGGAAACUGCCAGAGGGAGAGGGCUUCCUACUUGAAACGGUAGCUAAUACCGCAUACCAUCAGAUGUGCCCAGGUGGGAUUAGCUAGUAGGUGGGGUAACGGCUCACCUAGGCGACGAUCCCUAGCUGGGCUGAGAGGAUGACCAGUCACACUGGAACGGAGACACGGUCCAUACUCCUACGGGAGGCAGCAGUGGGGAAUAUUGCACAAUGGGCGAAAGCCUGAUGCAUCCAGGCCGCGUGUAUGAAGAAGGCCUUCGGAUUGUAAAGUACUUUAAGCGGGGCGGCGUUACCCGCAGAAUAAGCACCGGCUAACUUCGUGCCAGCCGCCGCGGUAAUUC
rnacentral:rRNA from 1 species